UAAGCGGAGGAAAAGAAACCAACAGGGAUUGCCCUAGUAACGGCGAGUGAAGCGGCAACAGCUCAAAUUUGAAAUCUGGCUACUUUGUAGUCCGAGUUGUAAUUUGUAGAGGAUGCUUUUGGUGAGGUGCUUUCUGAGUUCCCUGGAACGGGACGCCAGAGAGGGUGAGAGCCCCGUACAGUUAGCAACCGAUCCUUUGUAUAGCUCCUUCGACGAGUCGAGUAGUUUGGGAAUGCUGCUCUAAAUGGGAGGUAUAUCUCUUCUAAAGCUAAAUAUAGGCUAGAGACCGAUAGCGCACAAGUAGAGUGAUCGAAAGAUGAAAAGCACUUUGAAAAGAGAGUUAAACAGCACGUGAAAUUGUUGAAAGGGAAGCGCCUAUGACCAGACUUGUUUCUAUCAGUUUUGGUAGUUUUCGGACUGCUUUACUCUGUUAGUACAGGCCAACAUCAGUUUGUUGUCGGGGAGAAAGGCUUAGGGAAUGUGGCUCCCUCGGGAGUGUUAUAGAUCUUUGCAUAAUACCCUUCGGCAGACUGAGGACCGCGCUUCGGCAAGGAUGUUGGCGUAAUGGUUAUCAGCGACCCGUCUUGAAACACGGACCAAGGAGUCAACCUUAUAUGCGAGUGUUUGGGUGUAAAACCCCAGCGCGUAAUGAAAGUGAACGUAGGUGAGAGCUUCGGCGCAUCAUCGACCGAUUCUGAUGUUCUCGGAUGGAUUUGAGUAAGAGCAUAUAGGGUUGGACCCGAAAGAAGGUGAACUAUGCUUGUAUAGGGUGAAGCCAGAGGAAACUCUGGUGGAGGCUCGCAGCGGUUCUGACGUGCAAAUCGAUCGUCAAAUAUGAGCAUGGGGGCGAAAG
rnacentral:rRNA from 1 species